rnacentral:lncRNA from 1 species
GUAAUGUUACUGUCUCUAAGUGUCUGUGAAUGACGCUGAAGUGCCUUUUGGACUCAGUGAAGACACUGAGCGCACUUGUUAUCCAUUGGUUCUGUGGGAAAGCGGUUCCGUUGUCAGCCUGCCACGAGUGUAAAUCCACUUUGUAAGGAUUUCUAAAAAUACACCUCUAUAGUAUGAAUGUCUGACUGUUAAGUAGCACACAGGCAAUUCUAACUGGCUCCCCACACCUACUUGGAGCUGUAACCUCACAAGGCCAUUUUAUAGUGAUGUCACCCCUGCCUUGAUGUCAGCAUCUCCUCAGAGACUGAGGCGCAUUGAAGGAGAGUGUCCAGUGAUGGGCAAUGCUGGCAUUUCCUACCCUGGGAGUUCCUUGUCUGGCAAGCAGUGCAGACAGGCCUGAGAACCUUCAGGCUGGGGCCAACUGUUAGGAUGUAAGGAUUCUCUGAGAGCAUUGCCAAACACCUCACAAGAUGGAAUCCAAUGUGCUAGAUAAUUUUAAAUGAUUUUUUAGGCUUAUUUAUUUGUAAGUAAGGGCACAUGUGCCGCAGUGUUUGUGUGGAAGUCACAGGGUCUGGUUCUCCCAGUGUGUGGGUCCCAGGAAUUGGAUUUGAGUGUCUGGCUUGGCAGCAAGCACCUUCACUUGCUCACCACACACACACACACACACACCAGAGAAGGUCUUGACAGGACAGCACUGGGGAGAGAAAUCUCAGGGCACGACAGGAGCUAUGGAAGGUCACUAUCAGUUGAUCCCGUCUUCCCAGGGGAGCCUGAGGAUCGAGGAUCCACCGCCAUGAACCACCAGGGCUUAGACAGCUGAGCACUGCCAGCCAGGACCAGAGUCCCAGUCGAAAUGACUGGCUUUGCUUUCUGCCUUUUAAUGUAUUGUGUAAAUAUUUAUGCUCAGCCCUUAAGAAAGGCAGAGAAGUGUACUGUGUAAAUACUGACCACUAAGAAUUCUAAAAACAUUUCAGAGGACAAAAUGGUGGACAAACAGCUCUGUGCUCUGAGUACAGAAGGAUCAAGCUUAAGUCGGCUCUGGAUGAAGAUUCUGAUGAGGCCUCCAGCAAAUUAACUACAGCAUUGGUUCUCUGCCCGUGGGUGGCACUUAUCAGAUAUUUACACCACAAUUUAUAACAAUGGGAAAGUUACAGUUAUGAAAUAACAAAUAAUUUUAUGGUUGGGGUCACCACGCCAUGAGGAACUGUAUUAAAGGGUCACAGCAUUAGGAAGGUUGAGAACCACUGCUCUAUGGAAAAGCCAUCCUUAGGGAAACAGGGUCAUGCCUGAGUUCUUGCUCUAGCCAUGGUACAGGACCUGGCUUCAGUUGCCUCAGGCCCAUGCAGUUGUGGGGGACAUAUGAUGCAAACAGGGCUUGCUAGGAGGGAAGUGGCCUGCACAGGAAACUCACUGUGGCCAGGAAAGGACUGCAACGUGAGUCCUGACUGAGCCCCCAGAAAGAGCUCAGGUGCAAUGGAUCAGAGGGAGAGAGAGGGCCAUGUCUUUUGAGUUAGGGUCCUAGAAAGCAGGCAGAUUCUACAGUAGAGGUCAGCAAGCAGCCCCAUUGGGGAAGGGUAGCGGGUCCUUCAGAGGGUGAGAGAGCCCAGAGGGUUUUAGCAUGCUUAAGAUUUUGACUGGCAUCACAUUUCUUGAGUUAGAACCCAAAGGGGCAAGCUAAACAGUGAAGAACUCCAAGCAGCUGCCCCAUCGUGUUUUUAAAUGGGAGUUUUAAGGACUAGAACUGUGGUUUUUCUUUUUUUUUAGACAGGGUUUCUCUGUAUAGCCCUGGCUGUCCUGGAACUCAUUAUGUAGACCAGGCUGGCCUAGAACUCAGAAAUCCGCCUGCCUCUGCCUCCCGAGUGCUGGGAUUGAAGACGUGCGCCACCACUGCCUGGCAAAGCUGUGGUUCUUAUGCUUGCACCGCACACACAUUGUCUGAGCUGUUACCCCAGCCUCUUCUGGUCACCUCUUAGUAGUCAGAAGGCAUGUGGCCAUGACCGGUGUCCCUGUGUCCAAAGCUAUAGCGUGGUCCCUGUGAGUACGUGGACAUAUGCAAGUAAGACAGGCAGUACUGAAAGACUGAAUUUGUUGAGGGGCUCCAGCUUUCCUCGAUGAUUAAAUCUCAGCCCUUAGAGAUACAGGGAAUUUUUUUUUAAUUAGCAUGUAGCUGUAGCCUCUAGCUAUUGCUUAAGCAGGUCCAGCUUCAAUCAGAAAUAUUCAAGGUUUAUGUAGGGUUGGGCAUUGUGAUUAUCAUAGGGUGGUCUUUUUAUCCCCUCCCCAAAGAGAUCUUCCCUAGAGCUAAACAGGUUUUACAGGAGCUAAAAUUCUCAAGUUUCUAGUUAAGACAGUUUGAUGGUUAGCAGACAGAACUCACUAUCUACCAGGGCAUUGGUGGUGGCCAGUUCUCAAGGGAAAAGAAUACAUGUGACCCUUUCCGGAAAUGAGCAGUGAGCAGAUUGACAGAGCAGAAGCCAAUGGUUCCGGUUUGCUAUGCUGCCUCAGCUCAGACUGUUUCCCAGUCUGUUUUCUUCUUUAAAUCUAUUUAUUUUUAUUCCAUAAUAAAUCAUUUCA